rnacentral:lncRNA from 1 species
UUUUCUCGUGCAUCAUUACUAUAUUACUAUAUUCUUAUUGCAGAGUCAUUCGUGCAAGGUGCAACCUGCAAUGCUAUUGUUUUAAUAUUUCCAUCUUCGAUUUUGAGGCCUUCGCUGUGGACAUAAUUCCAGGAUAACAUCAGAGUCGAUUUAGACAUUUUGUGGAAUCAUAAUUUUGGGUGUUAUUUUUUAUAGCAGUG